CUUGCCUGCACCUGCCGGCGACCGGCGCACGGGUGAGUAACACGUAUGGAACCUGCCCGCCACAGGGGGAUAACCUGGGGGAAACCCGGCCUAAUACCCCAUGCCGCCCGGACCGGGCAUCCGGACCGGGCGAAAGGAGGAAUCCGGUGGCGGCUGGGCAUGCGGCGCAUUAGCUUGACGGCGGGGUAACGGCCCACCGUGGCGACGAUGCGUAGGGGUUCUGAGAGGAAGGUCCCCCACACUGGUACUGAGACACGGACCAGACCCCUACGGGAGGCAGCAG
rnacentral:rRNA from 1 species